UGGGGAAUAUUGGACAAUGGGCGGAAGCCUGAUCCAGCAACGCCGCGUGAGGGAUGACGGCCUUCGGGUUGUAAACCUCUUUCAGUACCGACGAAGCGAAAGUGACGGUAGGUACAGAAGAAGGACCGGCCAACUACGUGCCAGCAGCCGCGGUAAUACGUAGGGUCCGAGCGUUGUCCGGAAUUAUUGGGCGUAAAGGGCUCGUAGGCGGUUUGUCGCGUCGGGAGUGAAAACAGCGGGCUUAACUCGUUGCUUGCUUUCGAUACGGGGCAGACUAGAGGUAUGCAGGGGAGAAUGGAAUUCCUGGUGUAGCGGUGAAAUGCGCAGAUAUCAGGAGGAACACCGGUGGCGAAGGCGGUUCUCUGGGCAUUACCUGACGCUGAGGAGCGAAAGUGUGGGGAGCGAACAGGAUUAGAUCCCUGGUAGUCCACACCGUAAAACCGUUGGGGNGCUAGGUGUGGGGUCCUUUCCACGGAUUCCGUGCCGUAGCUAACGCAUUAAGCGCCCCGCCUGGGGAGUACGGCCGCAAGGCUAAAACUCAAAUGAAUUGAC
rnacentral:rRNA from 1 species